UCUUGGUGGUGCUGAACAAUAGGGCAAGAGGCAACAGGCAGAAACUGAUGCACAGGAAGUUCCACCUGAAUAUGAGGAAAAACUUCUUUACUGUGCUGGUGACCACACACUGGAACAGAUUGCCUAGAGAGGCUGUGGAAUCUUCCUCACUGAAGAUAUUCAAGAACUAUCUGGACGCAAUCCUGUGCCACGUGUUCUAGGAUGACCCUGCUUGAGCAGGGAGGUUAGACUGGAUGACCCACUGUGGUACCUUCCAACCUCAUCCAUUCUAUUAUUUGGGAAGG